rnacentral:rRNA from 1 species
UAGGGAAUCUUGGGCAAUGGGCGAAAGCCUGACCCAGCGAUGCCGCGUGUGUGAAGAAGGCCUUCGGGUUGUAAAGCACUUUCAGUCGUGAAGAAAUGUUCAGGGUUAAUACCUCUGAGCUUUGACGUUAACGACAGAAGAAGCACCGGCUAACUCCGUGCCAGCAGCCGCGGUAAUACGGAGGGUGCGAACGUUAAUCGGAAUUACUGGGCGUAAAGCGCGCGUAGGCGGUUUGACAAGUGGGAUGUGAAAGCCCUGGGCUCAACCUGGGAACUGCAUUCCAAACUGUCAGGCUAGAGUAUGGUAGAGGGAGGUAGAAUUUCCUGUGUAGCGGUGAAAUGCGUAGAUAUAGGAAGGAAUACCGGUGGCGAAGGCGGCCUCCUGGACCAAUACUGACGCUGAGGUGCGAAAGCGUGGGGAGCAAACAGGAUUAGAUACCCCCGUAGUCC